rnacentral:rRNA from 1 species
CCUACGGGCCGCACCAGUGGGGAAUAUUGGACAAUGGGCGAAGGCCUGAUCCAGCAAUGCCGCGUGUGUGAAGAAGGUCUUCGGAUUGUAAGGCACUAUCGACGGGGACGAUGACGACGGUACCCGUAGAAGAAGCCCCGGCUAACUUCGUGCCAGCAGCCGCGGUAAUACGAAGGGGGCUAGCGUUGCUCGGAAUGACUGGGCGUAAAGGGCGCGUAGGCGGUUUAUGCAGUCAGAUGUGAAAUCCCCGGGCUUAACCUGGGAACUGCAUUUGAGACUCAUAGACUAGAGGUCGAGAGAGGGUUGUGGAAUUCCCAGUGUAGAGGUGAAACUCGUAGAUAUUGGGAAGAACACCGGUGGCGAAGGCGGCAACCUGGCUCGAUACUGACGCUGUGGCGCGAAAGCGUGGGGAGCAAACAGGAUUAGAUACCCUUGUAGUC